rnacentral:rRNA from 1 species
GAUGAACGCUGGCGGCGUGCCUAAUACAUGCAAGUCGAGCGAACAGACGAGGAGCUUGCUCCUCUGACGUUAGCGGCGGACGGGUGAGUAACACGUGGAUAACCUACCUAUAAGACUGGGAUAACUUCGGGAAACCGGAGCUAAUACCGGAUAAUAUAUUGAACCGCAUGGUUCAAUAGUGAAAGACGGUUUUGCUGUCACUUAUAGAUGGAUCCGCGCCGGAUUAGCUAGUUGGUAAGGUAACGGCUUACCAAGGCAACGAUGCGUAGCCGACCUGAGAGGGUGAUAGGCCACACUGGAACUGAGACACGGUCCAGACUACUACGGGAGGCAGCAGUAGGGAAUCUUCCGCAAUGGGCGAAAGCCUGACGGAGCAACGCCGCGUGAGUGAUGAAGGUCUUCGGAUCGUAAAACUCUGUUAUUAGGGAAGAACAAAUGUGUAAGUAACUAUGCACGUAUUGACGGUACCUAAUCAGAAAGCCACGGCUAACUACGUG